CAGAUGAACAGACUGAUCCAUCCCUCACGGAGAGAGCAGGAGCAGUUCUGGGGCCCUGGGACAGCCCAGCCCAGCCUUGUUCAGUAGUUCAAAUGUGCACUCAGGAUAUAGAGAAAAGAGCUUUUGAUCUUUGGGAUUCAGCAUGAACUUUAUAUCCAAAGGCAAGCAAAUCAUAUUGAACAGGAAUACUCUGCACCUCUAGGUACAGGUACAUGUGCUUCACAGGAGGUAAGCAGUGCUCAUCUAAAUAGAGUAAGAAACCCGACAAUAUGUACUAUAAGGCUGCAAUGUGAUGUCCCCAAAGACUUCUCCAGGAUGAAGAACUCCAGCUGUCUCCCCCCGUCUUCAUAGGAGAGGUGUUCCAGACCUGUGAUCAUAGAGGCCCUUCUCUGGACUCACUCCAGCAGGUCCAUGUCCUUCCUGUUGUGGAGACCUCAGAUCUGAAUGCAAUAACCCCAGAUCUAGAGAGAUAUUUAGAAGCCUGUUUCUCACUACAAUCAACUAAAAUUUUGAUGCUUUGUGAAUUUGAAUGAAGAUAAGUCAAACCGACUUGCCAAGGGUGACAUUCAAAAUUUGUG